rnacentral:rRNA from 1 species
UACAGAGGGGGCAAGCGUUAUUCGGAAUUAUUGGGCGUAAAGGGCGCGUAGGCGGCUUGGCAAGUGGAAGGUGAAAUCCCUCGGCUUAACCGAGGAACUGCCUUCCAGACUGCUUUGCUUGAGGCCGGGAGAGGCGAGUGGAAUUCCCAGUGUAGCGGUGAAAUGCGUAGAUAUUGGGAGGAACACCAGUGGCGAAGGCGGCUCGCUGGACCGGUUCUGACGCUGAGGCGCGAAAGCUAGGGGAGCGAACGGG